rnacentral:rRNA from 1 species
CCUACGGGAGGCAGCAGUGAGGAAUAUUGGUCAAUGGACGAGAGUCUGAACCAGCCAAGUAGCGUGAAGGAUGACUGCCCUAUGGGUUGUAAACUUCUUUUAUAUGGGAAUAAAAUGUUCCACGUGUGGGAUUUUGUAUGUACCAUAUGAAUAAGGAUCGGCUAACUCCGUGCCAGCAGCCGCGGUAAUACGGAGGAUCCGAGCGUUAUCCGGAUUUAUUGGGUUUAAAGGGGGCGUAGGUGGAUUGUUAAGUCAGUUGUGAAAGGUUGCGGCUCAACCGUAAAAUUGCAGUUGAAACUGGCAGUCUUGAGUACAGUAGAGGUGGGCGGAAUUCGUGGUGUAGCGGUGAAAUGCUUAGAUAUCACGAAGAACUCCGAUUGCGAAGGCAGCUCACUGGACUGCAACUGACACUGAGGCUCGAAAGUGUGGGUAUCAAACAGUAUUAGAUACCCCAGUAGUC